rnacentral:rRNA from 1 species
CACGUAGGGCGCGAGCGUUGUCCGGAAUUAUUGGGCGUAAAGAGCUCGUAGGCGGCCUGUUGCGUCCGCUGUGAAAUCCCGGGGCUCAACCCCGGGCCUGCAGUGGAUACGGGCUGGCUAGAGGCAGGCAGGGGAGAACGGAAUUCCCGGUGUAGCGGUGAAAUGCGCAGAUAUCGGGAGGAACACCGGUGGCGAAGGCGGUUCUCUGGGCCUGUACUGACGCUGAGGAGCGAAAGCGUGGGGAGCGAACAGG